AUUGUGAUAUCGGCCGCUCUUCUUCAUUGUUCUUCAGUGUGAUUUGCAUUCAUAGCUGGCAUAAUUUCGGCAGAUGCUCUCAUUUGAUAGUUUGAUGUCGUUUUUUGCAAAAUUGCGAAUCCCCACUUCGUAGCCAACAAAAAGAUUUUUACAUUUGAAACAACAGUAUUGUGCAAUCAAUUUAAAAUACAUUUUGUGUUUCAGAGUUGCAGCUCAGCACUUAUAUUCUCCUUUAUGGACAAGGACGUUGGUAUUUUAUUGAAAUAGUACAGCUACAGCUAAGUUCAAAUCGACAGUAAAAAUAAUCCAUUUAUUUUGUGUGUUGCAAUCUAUUCAAUUACGUUCAAAGCUGAUACUUUGACACACUUUUCUCAUUACGUACGUGUGAACAUCAAGAAUAUAGUUAUUAAACCAGUGCUAUUUAAUUUUAAAGGAGUAACAGAAGACGAUAACAAAGAGAAGCCGCAGAAUGCAGAUCGGAAAGCUGUACGACCUCACUAAGUACGGAACUGAUUUGAUGGAUCAGAGGAUAGGUCGAUACAGUACCAAGGUGAAAUCCAACAAGUGGAAACACUGCAUGUGGUAUUACAUUCUGGACACCACAAGGGUGAACAUCCACACUGUCGUCCAACUAAGCAAUCCAUCAGAGUGGACUCAUUCAGGUGGAAUAAGUGCUAUCUCUCAUGAAGCCUUGGCUAAUAGAAAAGCCCAUCAUUGGACUGUUAGAGCACAUGUCCUGACAGCAGCAUUCAACAUAACGGGGAAUCCUAAAUUUCGGAGGACAGCUGAAGUCCCAAACAGCAUGAUUAGUUUCCCCAAGAAAGUUGAAAGCAAGAAGCAGUGUCGUGACUGCCUCUCGAACUGUAAGGGGAAAGACUAUAAAAAACAGCAAAAAGGUUUCAGCUGUUUAUAGCAUGUGUGAACUGUGUGGUGAUAGGAUUUGCCAUAAACAUCACAUGGUGCAGAAUGUGCAUCUCCUCUUGCUUUAUGAAACUUGCUAAUGAAUCACAAUCCUGGUUGUGCAAACUGUUUAAAAUCUUCAACCCGUGAAUUAGGGUCUUUUGAAUUUAUCCAUGUUUAACAAUCAAGUUUUCUUUGCAAAAACUGACAGAAAUGGGCUACAAUUAUUACAAAAAUUCGGCAAAUAAAUCCAUGUAUCGACACAACCAGGGUUGCGAAAUAUGUUUAUUAGUUUAUUAUUUAUUUUAUCAUUGAGAUUCUUUGAAAUUAUGAUCGCUUGCUUUUGUAGCAUAUAA